ACACUGUAAGGACACAUGAACUGAAAACUCUCUGGGUCGCUGUCUGUGAGGGAGUGUUGAAAUUGUUCACUGAGAAAAAGAAUUGUGCAGAACUGGCUAAAAAGUUUAUUUGAGGCAACAAUUUGAUCAUCAUAAUGCAGAUGCCAAUGUAGCAAGUUGUUAUGAACAAGCUAUUAUGAUGGAGACUCAGGCUGCAGUCCAAUCAAUCACCGGCGGUACUACACUGCCACAGACUACAUGUAUACACAUGGAUCCCCUUACGUCCAGUUAGAUCAAGUUACAUGGUUGUGGCUCAACACUGUAUGGACACAUGAACUGAAAACUCUCUGGGUCGCUGUCUGUGAGGGAGUGUUGAAAUUGUUCACUGAGAAAAAGAAUUGUGCAGAACUGGCUAAAAAGUUUAUUUGAGGCAACAAUUUGAUCAUCAUACUGCAGAUAAUCCGACAAGUCCAAACAGAUGUGGGACCAUACAGAGUCUCUUAUCGGAUGUCUUAAAUUUGACACCAUCGCAAAUCUACAUGACAGAACAGUUGCAAUAGUGUUUUAUACAAGAUGCCAAUGUAGCAAGUUGUUAUGAACAAGCUAUUAUGAUGGAGACUCAGGCUGCAGUCCAAUCAAUCACCGGCGGUACUACACUGCCACAGACUACAUGUAUACACAUGGAUCCCCUUACGUCCAGUUAGAUCAAGUUACAUGGUUGUGGCUCAACACUGUAUGGACACAUGAACUGAAAACUCUCUGGGUCGCUGUCUGUGAGGGAGUGUUGAAAUUGUUCACUGAGAAAAAGAAUUGUGCAGAACUGGCUAAAAAGUUUAUUUGAGGCAACAAUUUGAUCAUCAUAAUGCAGAUAAUCCGACAAGUCCAAACAGAUGUGGGACCAUACAGAGUCUCUUAUCGGAUGUCUUAAAUUUGACACCAUCGCAAAUCUACAUGACAGAACAGUUGCAAUAGUGUUUUAUACAAGAUGCCAAUGUAGCAAGUUGUUAUGAACAAGCUAUUAUGAUGGAGACUCAGGCUGCAGUCCAAUCAAUCACCGGCGGUACUACACUGCCACAGACUACAUGUAUACACAUGGAUCCCCUUACGUCCAGUUAGAUCAAGUUACAUGGUGUGUUUGUUUUUUUACUUUUUCAGUACUUUUCAUGACAGAAGCAAGCACAGAUCUCACUGAUCUGUGCAUGCUUCUGCCAAACGUGCACAGUGUAAUGAAACAGACAUUACAAUGUGUGAGUUUUCAUUUGUGAAAACUUGAAUACACUCGCAUAAUGUAAUAGCCUCAAAUUUAAAAUCUUGCAGUCUAUUACAUUGGGCAAGUUUUGCAGCACACUCGCACCUUCUAAUGUGAAGGUUUGCUUUUAUCCCACACAACUAACUUGCAUCACAUUACAUCCCGCCGAUAGUGUAGCACCUAACAAUAUAACAAAUACACAGUGGGACAAUUUGAAAUUUUAAAUCACUUAUUCCAUUUCUUUUCACACAUACUUGUACUUUCAGUAUAUCGAUGCUUUAGUUUCUACAUUUCAAAGAGUCACAAUAAAGGUUCCUUUCUAUUAUUAGUGCGCCAAAUACAACAAUACUUUUAUCUUCUCUCUCAUGGUCAUAUCAGUUAUUAACCACUUCUUAACUGUUUGAUAUAUUUUCAAAAAUGUCCUCAAAAUUGCUGCUUUUUAAUUAUGA